AUAUCUCUCACUAGAUUCAACACUUGUAAGGGCUUAUGGUUUUAUAGAUGUUGAUUUUGAUAUAGAGUCAUCUUCCAUGAAGCACACAAGAGGCUCAUUUUACCUUUUUAUACCUGAGCAGAGAGCUGCUCUGCACAUGUAUAUUGAAAUGAGAAUACUUUUCAACAGAUUGAGUUAGAUGAACUUGAAGGUAUAUCUAAUUUAGCUGCAACAUUGGUAUGGGAUGACUCUUCCCUUUGUACAUUUGAGGAGGCUGUUCAAUCUUACGAGUUAGCUCUCUACUAGGCCACUCAUCAGUUUUGGCCCACCACAGAGAAAUGUCAUAACAAAUGCAUCAGUUCUGCUCUUAGAAAGUUCAAUGUGAUGGAGGAUAAAAACACCUACAUUUUGCCCUACUUCUACGACAUUGAUCUUGGGAAUGACACUAUGGAAGUGGUAUCUCCUUUAACCUGAUUGAUUAAUCCUUCCAGAUUCACCGUAGUUAUGGGAGUAUGCUUGAAGGCGAGGCCGAUGAACUUAAGAGAGUAUUCUUGGAAGGGAAUCUGUACCUUUUGGUGAUUACAAUGAUUGUCUCAGUAUUUCAUUCCAUAUUCAACUUCUUGGCAUUUAAGAAUGAUAUUCAGUUUUGGAACAAAAACAAAUCCAUGGAUGGAUUAUCUGCAAAGUCAGUUAUUGUGAGCUUCUCAUGUCAGCUUAUCUGCAAAGUCGGUUAUUAUGGUUUGUCUCUAUCAUAUAUGCUGAGAAUGUUGUAUGGAGUUAAAAAUAUAAUUACAGUAACUGUAUAUAUUCAUGGACUUAGGUCUUUGCACUAAUUGGAUCCCCUUGAUGAAUCUCUAAUGCUCAAACCUGUCCCUGGAGUAGAUGAUUCUGAGUAACUGAAUACAGUAUAAUUUCCUGGAAUUUUAUUUUAUUUUUCACGAAAAGGUUGAUAUGUGCUUGUGUGAAUUUAGCUGUGAUCAUAUCGGGACUGCCUUCCUAGCAUUGUAUCUACAUCAAUGCCCAAUUUACAUAUUCAUUGGAUUGUAAGUAAUUCCCCUUUAAGUUCUAUCACAAGCAUCUUUUUUCCCUCUUUUUUCAUCGGUUGGGGGGUUGGUAGGGCUGUUAGGUAAUCAUCAACUAUUUGUUCCCUGAACUGAUGUAUUCAACUGAGCUUCACUUGUUCUCUCACAUUAUCAUCACAUUAUCCUUUAAUGGCUAAAUAGGAUAAACAAGAACGACAUACUUGUUAACUGUGUACUUCAAGUUGCACCUGAGUACAUAAACACCACUUAAUAGGGUUCAAUUUGUGUUUGUGAUUUUUUCAUCAGCUCACCUAUGCUCUUCUCCAAUCUCUCUCUCCCCCCCUGUGUGUGUGUGGAUGUGUCUUUUAUCAGCAUAUAGAAUUGAAGUUUCAUCCACAUUUCCAUACAUUUGCCUCCCAAAUUUACAAUAGCUGAUCACCACUUCUCUUUGAUUUCUUUGAUGAGGUGAUUUAUUUUUCAUUGCAAAUAAAUAUCUUGCUGUGGAUGAUCUGGCAGGAUUCUUUUAUCACAAUUUGACCCCUGAGGAACUUACAAGAGUUCACGAAUACAACUUUGACCACCCUGGUGAGUUUUGCAUCUGGAAUUUGAUGAUUGCAUUCUUUGGUAUUGCUCGUUUUCUAACAUGAAUUUUUAGUUGAUUUUUCAAUUUCUUCUUAAUCCUAAACAAAAAAUAUUUUGGAGUCAGUUCUGUGAUUGUUUCUGGAUUCAGACACAGAGAAUGUUGUUGGCAACAUAUAUUCUUCACCAUAUUGGUAUGUAGUGCUAUAGUUGAGAAUUUUGAGAUUAAUGAUAAUUUUGAUGUUUGAUUGUAAAUAAGUUUGGCUUUAUCUCGUAUUCUUUUAAAAUUAUUGUCUUUUCUGAUUGGAUUAUUUGGUUGGAAGUGUAAAACAUACUGAUAACAAGAGUUGAAUUUAAUGGAAAUUGAUGUAUUUGCAGCAGCAAUAGCCAGUAGCAGAGGCUACUCACUACUCGGUCCUUUUCAAUCUUUUUGUUAAUGGGUUUGCUUGGUUUGGUUUAGAGUCCUCUUCAAUGGGUUUUCACUUUCUUUGACUCUUUCCCUCCAUUAAUUUGACAUUUCAAUGCAAAAUGUGUGUGUAAAGAAACCUUAACUGUAGGGCUUUUUUUUCUUUUUUCUUUUUUUUCUUUUUUCUUUUUCUUCUUUUUUUGGAUGAUAAUGUGGCUGCAUUUCUUUGUUGUUUGAGGCCUUUUGACUCUUGUGAAUGGUGGGUUGUUGUUGUGAUGAAGUUUGUUUGAGUAGGAUUUGAGAGGUUUUAGCUGGGGAAGAAGCUUCAAAAUGUUUGGGUUUUCUCGCAGACGAAUGAAGAUUGAGAGACCGAGAGGAUUGAAGGCCAUGGGAAGCAGCAUGGAGAGUGAUUCAGAAUGACGGUGAAUGAUGGAUGGGGCUUACCUUUGGAUUUUUAUUUUUCUUCUUUUUUUCUUUUUCCUCUGAUCUGACUUGGGGGGGGGGGUGGGGGGGGGGGGGG